rnacentral:rRNA from 1 species
CCUGGCUCAGAACGAACGCUGGCGGCGCGUUUUAAGCAUGCAAGUCGAACGGUAGAGGGGGCUUCGGCCCUCUUGAGAGUGGCGAACGGGUGAGUAACACGUAGGUGAUCUACCUUAGAGGUUGGGGAUAGCCUGUGGAAACACAGGGUAAAACCUGAUGAGCUUCUUGAGGUAAAGGACGAGAAGGAAAGGGGCUUCGGCCCUGCCUUAAGAUGAGCCUGCGGUCCAUUAGUUAGUUGGUGGGGUAAAGGCCUACCAAGGCGACGAUGGAUAGCCGGCCUGAGAGGGUGACCGGCCACACUGGGACUGAGAUACGGCCCAGACUCCUACGGGAGGCAGCAGCUAAGAAUCUUCCGCAAUGGGCGCAAGCCUGACGGAGCGACGCCGCGUGGACGAAGAAGGCCUAACGGUUGUAAAGUCCUUUUUUUGGUGAAGAAUAACCUAAGGAGGGAAUGCCUUAGGGAUGACGUUAGCCAAGGAAUAAGCCCCGGCUAAUUACGUGCCAGCAGCCGCGGUAACACGUAAGGGGCGAGCGUUGUUCGGAAUUAUUGGGCGUAAAGGGCGUGUAGGCGGUUCUACAAGCUUGGUGUGAAAGGCCACGGCUUAACUGUGGUUUAGCGCUGGGAACUGUGGGACUAGAGUUCUGGAGGAGGAGCUGGAAUUCCUGGUGUAGGGGUGAAAUCUGUAGAUAUCAGGAAGAACACCGGCGGCGAAGGCGAGCUUCUAGCCAGAAACUGACGCUGAGGCGCGAAAGCGUGGGGAGCGAACAGGAUUAGAUACCCUGGUAGUCCACGCUGUAAACGAUGUGCACUAGGUGUUGGGGCGCUGAAGUCCCGGUGCCGAAGCUAACGCGAUAAGUGCACCGCCUGGGGAGUAUGCUCGCAAGGGUGAAACUCAAAGGAAUUGACGGGGGCCCGCACAAGCGGUGGAGCAUGUGGUUUAAUUCGAUGAUACGCGAGGAACCUUACCAGGGCUUGACAUCAGCAGGAAGUCGCAGGAGACUGCGGCGCCCUUCGGGGUCUGCUGACAGGUGCUGCAUGGCUGUCGUCAGCUCGUGCUGUGAAGUGUUGGGUUAAGUCCCGCAACGAGCGCAACCCCUGCUGUCUGUUACCAGCACGUAAAGGUGGGGACUCAGACGGUACUGCCGGUGACAAACCGGAGGAAGGUGGGGACGACGUCAAGUCAUCAUGGCCCUUAUGUCCUGGGCUACACACGUGCUACAAUGGCCGGCACAGAGCGCCGCGAAACCGCGAGGUGGAGCAAAUCGCAGAAAGCCGGUCUCAGUACAGAUUGGAGUCUGAAACCCGACUUCAUGAAGGUGGAAUCGCUAGUAAUCGCGCAUCAGCAUGGCGCGGUGAAUACGUUCCCGGGCAUUGUACACACCGCCCGUCACACCAC